rnacentral:rRNA from 1 species
CCUACGGGUGGCAGCAGUGGGGAAUAUUGCACAAUGGGCGCAAGCCUGAUGCAGCCAUGCCGCGUGUGUGAAGAAGGCCUUCGGGUUGUAAAGCACUUUCAGCGGGGAGGAAGGCGGUGAGGUUAAUAACCUCAUCGAUUGACGUUACCCGCAGAAGAAGCACCGGCUAACUCCGUGCCAGCAGCCGCGGUAAUACGGAGGGUGCAAGCGUUAAUCGGAAUUACUGGGCGUAAAGCGCACGCAGGCGGCUGUCAAGUCGGAUGUGAAAUCCCCGGGCUCAACCUGGGAACUGCAUUCGAAACUGGCAGGCUAGAGUCUUGUAGAGGGGGGUAGAAUUCCAGGUGUAGCGGUGAAAUGCGUAGAGAUCUGGAGGAAUACCGGUGGCGAAGGCGGCCCCCUGGACAAAGACUGACGCUCAGGUGCGAAAGCGUGGGGAGCAAACAGGAUUAGAUACCCUAGUAGUC